UACGGAGGGUGCAAGCGUUAUCCGGAUUCACUGGGUUUAAAGGGUGCGUAGGCGGGUACGUAAGUCCGUGGUGAAAUCUCUGAGCUUAACUCAGAAACUGCCGUGGAUACUAUUUGCCUUGAAUAUUGUGGAGGUGAGCGGAAUUUGUCAUGUAGCGGUGAAAUGCUUAGAUAUGACAUAGAACACCAAUUGCGAAGGCAGCUCACUGCACAAUCAUUGACGCUGAGGCACGAAAGCGUGGGGAGCAAACAGG
rnacentral:rRNA from 1 species